CCUACGGGAGGCAGCAGUGGGGAAUAUUGGGCAAUGGGCGCAAGCCUGACCCAGCAACGCCGCGUGAAGGAAGAAGGCUUUCGGUAUGUAAAGCUCUGUCAGCAGGGAAGAAAGAAAUGACGGUACCUGACCAAGAAGCCCCGGCUAACUACGUGCCAGCAGCCGCGGUAAUACGUAGGGGGCAAGCGUUAUCCGGAAUUACUGGGUGUAAAGGGAGCGUAGACGGUGAUGCAAGUCUGGAGUGAAAGGCGGGGGCCCAACCCCCGGACUGCUCUGGAAACUGUGUAACUUGAGUGCAGGAGAGGUAAGCGGAAUUCCUAGUGUAGCGGUGAAAUGCGUAGAUAUUAGGAGGAACACCAGUGGCGAAGGCGGCUUACUGGACUGUAACUGACGUUGAGGCUCGAAAGCGUGGGGAGCAAACAGGAUUAGAUACCCGAGUAGUC
rnacentral:rRNA from 1 species